UAAGCCAGUUUAAAAGCCACACAUCGCACUAUUCACAACAAAAAUCCGGAGGUAGUGAGAAAGCACCGUGACAGUGUAUAGUCGAAUGGAAAUUUGUUUAAUUUUAAUACCAUUGUAUGCACAAAACUUUGAUAUCAUGCGUUUUCUGGCAGUGUAGUAUCUACGUGAAGCAGUGCAUAAACCAAUUGUUAUUACACGAACAUUUAACGUUAUCGAAUAGUGCUAUAUUCAGAACUAUGGACAAUAAGAAGGAAGUUGAGGAUGAGAAGAAAGACAGUAGCAGCAGUGUAGAAGAACAAGAAAGCUCAAGUUCAUCGCUUGACCAAGCUGAAGGUGGAGAUUCUGAUACAAGCAUGGAUAAGAUUCGUAAAUUCCUUGAGCAGAAACUGCACAUUUUUGACAAUAAUAGCAGUGACCAUGUAGAAAAGGUCCUAACUGAAACAACUGUGGAUGGCGUUGUUGAGUUUAUCAAAACUCACAAUGUAAAAAAAAUAGUAACAAUGGCUGGGGCUGGUAUAUCAACUUCUGCAGGAAUACCAGACUUUCGCUCUCCCAAAAGUGGACUAUACCAUAAUUUAGACAAGUAUAAUUUGCCACACCCACAAGCAAUCUUUGAACUGGAUUUUUUCAAAAGCAAUCCAGAGCCUUUUUUUGUACUUGCGAAAGAGCUGCUUCCAGAAGGAUAUAAGCCGACUCCAUCACAUUAUUUCAUACGUCUGUUGCAUGAAAAGGGACUUCUUCUGCGGCAUUACACUCAAAAUAUAGAUACUCUAGAAAGGCUUGCUGGAUUACCAGAAGAAAAGCUAGUAGAAGCUCACGGAACAUUUCACUCUGGGCGAUGUCUUGAUUGCCAAGCAUCAUUUGAUCUGCCUUGGAUGAAAGAAAAAAUCAAAAAAGCAACUGUUCCAAAAUGUGAGGAAUGCUCUGAAGGAGUUGUGAAGCCUGAUAUUGUUUUCUUUGGAGAAAUGUUACCUGAUAGAUUCCAUAGACUGAUUGAUCAAGAUUUUCCAGAAGCUGAACUUUUAAUAAUAAUGGGCUCUAGUUUACUUGUCCAACCUUUUGCUUCUUUAGUCGACAGAGUUAAACGCAGCUGUCCGAGGUUGUUAAUAAACAAAGAAAAAGUUGGUAUGCAGGAUAGAUUAUCAAGAUUUCUUGGUAUAAGCAGUGGUAUGAAUUUCGAUUCUUCAAAUGGUCGUGAUGUUGCAUUGCUUGGUGAAUGUGAUAAGGGAUGUCAAUUACUUGCUGAAAAACUUGGCUGGGGGGAUGAAUUAAAAGACUUAAUUGCAAAGGAAUAUGAGAGAUUAGACACCGAAACUGCAGAAUUAAAAGAAUAUCUCGAGAAGGAAAAGCGCCCUCCAGGGAAUGAAAAAGCAAGUAACGAAUAAUAUAGCACUGUCAAUCGACAUAUCGAUACCGAGAAUUUUAAAAAAAUUGCACUGAUCAACUGUUAUUAUGCAAAUAGUUAACUUUUUCGAAUUUAUUAGAGAUAAUUUUGUAAAUAUGCUUACCACUAACUAGAAACUUUUAUACGAUAUAGAGUGUAUUGUAUUGAAAAGAACUUGUCGAUCGCCACAAAUUUCAACUAAUUUUAUUUUUUCAAAGGUACGUUAGUUAUUAUAUACAUAUUAUCUAUCGUACGGUGUACGAUAUUUUUGACAAAUAUUACGUUGAAUCGAAUAACAAAAUAGAUGAUCUUCAAUAGUUCUAACUAAUUUUACUCAUAUUUAUUCAACUAUCGCGAUUUGAUCCUCCAAGAGUUGCUUUGAGAUUUUUAAAACAUUUUGUUAGAGAUUAGAAAAAAAAUGUAUAUGUUUGUAAUUGCAAAGAAAUUUCAAAAUUUAUUCUAUCCGUAUCACAAUUAUUUUUUUAAAAUUCUUAUCAUAGAAUUUCAUUUUAAAAAUCUUCUCUUGAUAUAAUUAUAUCUGCUUCAAAUAACGCUUCGAAAUUUAUGUUUUAUUUCAUUGCAAACGGUUUUACGACGACUUCUUCGCUUUGACGUUGAUGCAACUGGCCAAUGCCAACAGCUGACGUUGCUAGAGGCUCUCGCCCAGAAUAACUAUAACUUUACGAACUGCGUUUUCCUGUGCUUUUUCAUCGCCUGCGAUCAAGAGCGUAGUUCGGUCAAGCUUUAUAGCGACUCAACUCAAGAGAGUACGAAAAGCAGACUUACCUAUGACAGUCUUGAAGCUAGUACCAGGAGCGAUUUCGUCCAAACCUGACGUGGCCGAAACGUGACGAAGUAACGUCUUUGGCGCGACGAGUAUCAAAGGCUUCCUGAAGUUCCUCACCAUCUGAAAUUAACAAUAUACUCGUUAUCCACGUAAUUUAUUAAUGCUCUGUAAAAUACCCUAAAGGACGUACUCUUUAUAAAUAUAAUACCCGUAAUAAAUUAUAUAUAUUUAACUAAA